rnacentral:rRNA from 1 species
UACGAAGGGGGCUAGCGUUGCUCGGAAUCACUGGGCGUAAAGCGCACGUAGGCGGAUUGCUAAGUCAGGGGUGAAAUCCUGGAGCUCAACUCCAGAACUGCCUUUAAUACUGGCGAUCUCGAGUCCGGGAGAGGUGAGUGGAACUGCGAGUGUAGAGGUGAAAUUCGUAGAUAUUCGCAAGAACACCAGUGGCGAAGGCGGACUCACUGGCCCGGUACUGACGCUGAGGUGCGAAAGCGUGGG